CGCAAUGCCAGCCUGACUGUACAGGGCUAGUAUACUUUGCUGAAUCGUCGCACGUCCAUUACAAUGUCGCCCCCUUACAGAAACUUUUCAUAAGCAAACUACUCGAUGGCAUAAACCUGAUGAACUCAACGGUUAUACGAAUUUUCUAUGCGUCGGAGAAAAAUCUGAUAUUUUACCUGCUUGAAACAAAUCUGCGAUUCUUCGAAGAUAUUGCGCUUUCGGGCAGCCACUGGAUUCUGCUAAGCGGUGGAAGUAUAUUAAUUGUUACAUUUGAACUUAUCUACCACUGCACCAUCAGAUGGCGCCACCACUACAGUCGGACAUAACUAUUUCCUAACACAGGUCAAGG